rnacentral:rRNA from 1 species
GACGAACGCUGGCGGCGUGCUUAACACAUGCCAGUCGAACGGAAAGGCCCUGCUUUUGUGGGGUGCUCGAGUGGCGAACGGGUGAGUAACACGUGAGUAACCUGCCCUUGACUUUGGGAUAACUUCAGGAAACUGGGGCUAAUACCGGAUAGGAGCUCCUGCUGCAUGGUGGGGGUUGGAAAGUUUCGGCGGUUGGGGAUGGACUCGCGGCUUAUCAGCUUGUUGGUGGGGUAGUGGCUUACCAAGGCUUUGACGGGUAGCCGGCCUGAGAGGGUGACCGGCCACAUUGGGACUGAGAUACGGACCAGACUCGUACGGGAGGCAGCAGUGGGGAAUAUUGCACAAUGGGCGGAAGCCUGAUGCAGCAACGCCGCGUGCGGGAUGACGGCCUUCGGGUGGUAAACCGCUUUCGCCUGUGACGAAGCGUGAGUGACGGUAAUGGGUAAAGAAGCACCGGCUAACUACGUG